AACGCUAGCUACAGGCUUAACACAUGCAAGUCGAGGGGCAGCAUGAACUUAGCUUGCUAAGUUUGAUGGCGACCGGCGCACGGGUGAGUAACACGUAUCCAACCUGCCGAUGACUCGGGGAUAGCCUUUCGAAAGAAAGAUUAGUACCCGAUGGCAUAGUUCUUCCGCAUGGUAGAACUAUUAAAGAAUUUCGGUCAUCGAUGGGGAUGCGUUCCAUUAGGUUGUUGGCGGGGUAACGGCCCACCAAGCCUUCGAUGGAUAGGGGUUCUGAGAGGAAGGUCCCCCACAUUGGAACUGAGACACGGUCCAAACUCCUACGGGAGGCAGCAGUGAGGAAUAUUGGUCAAUGGACGAGAGUCUGAACCAGCCAAGUAGCGUGAAGGAUGACUGCCCUAUGGGUUGUAAACUUCUUUUAUACGGGAAUAAAGUGAGGCACGUGUGCCUUUUUGUAUGUACCGUAUGAAUAAGGAUCGGCUAACUCCGUGCCAGCAGCCGCGGUAAUACGGAGGAUCCGAGCGUUAUCCGGAUUUAUUGGGUUUAAAGGGAGCGUAGGCGGACGCUUAAGUCAGUUGUGAAAGUUUGCGGCUCAACCGUAAAAUUGCAGUUGAUACUGGGUGUCUUGAGUACAGUAGAGGCAGGCGGAAUUCGUGGUGUAGCGGUGAAAUGCUUAGAUAUCACGAAGAACUCCGAUUG
rnacentral:rRNA from 1 species